rfam:Tinamus guttatus contig4263, whole genome shotgun sequence.
GACCUGGUCCUCCUCAGGACCACCUAAUAAAUACAGGAACAGUUAC